AUGGGCGAAAGCCUGAUCCAGCCAUGCCGCGUGUGUGAAGAAGGUCUUCGGAUUGUAAAGCACUUUAAGUUGGGAGGAAGGGUUGUAGAUUAAUACUCUGCAAUUUUGACGUUACCGACAGAAUAAGCACCGGCUAACUCUGUGCCAGCAGCCGCGGUAAUACAGAGGGUGCAAGCGUUAAUCGGAAUUACUGGGCGUAAAGCGCGCGUAGGUGGUUUGUUAAGUUGGAUGUGAAAUCCCCCGGGCUCAACCUGGGAACUGCAUUCAAAACUGACUGACUAGAGUAUGGUAGAGGGUGGUGGAAUUUCCUGUGUAGCGGUGAAAUGCGUAGAUAUAGGAAGGAACACCAGUGGCGAAGGCGACCACCUGGACUAGAUACUGACACUGANGUGCGANAGCGUGGGGAGCAAACAGGAUUAGAUACCCUGGUAGUCCACGCCGUAAACGAUGUCAACUAGCCGUUGGAAGCCUUGAGCUGUUAGUGGCGCAGCUAACGCAUNANGUUGACCGCCUGGGGAGUAC
rnacentral:rRNA from 1 species